rnacentral:rRNA from 1 species
AACGUAGGACGCAAGCGUUAUCCGGAUUUACUGGGCGUAAGAGCGCGCAGGCGGUCGUUCAAGUCGCGUGUGAAAGCCCCCGGCUCAACUGGGGAGGGUCACGCGAUACUGAUCGACUCGAAGGCAGGAGAGGGAAGUGGAAUUCCCGGUGUAGUGGUGAAAUGCGUAGAUAUCGGGAGGAACACCAGUGGCGAAGGCGACUUCCUGGCCUGUUCUGACGCUGAGGCGCGAAAGCUA